CCGGGCUGCCGCCGCCGCCUUCGCUGCCCGCCGCUGCUGUUGCUCCGCGCCCCGCGCCGCCGCUUCCGAGGCUCGAGCCGCCGGCCACCGGACGCCCGCCGCCUAGGCGACCCGGGGCCGUUCCUGGCCCUCGCCCUCGGUCUGGGCUUCCGCGCCGGCCGCCGGACAACUUCUCCCCCGGCCUCCCGCCCUCAUCCCUCCCGCCUCGGCGCCCGCCCUCCCCGGGCUCCUCGUCUCUUUCUCUCCUGGCCGAGCCAGCGCCCGCAGCCCCCGGCCCGGCCCGGCCCGGCCGCAGCGUGUCAGUCCCCCGGGGGGCGCAGGGGGUGCAAUGCGCCAGGCUGCGGGGAGCUCCGCCGCGGCGGCAGCCGCUGCCCCGGGCACCACGUAGAAAGUCCCGGCGAGCGGCGAACAGCGGCAGCGGCGGCAUCCGCAGAGAGCCGCGACCCUCUGCCCCGCGCCCCCACGGCACCCACGGCGGGGGUCAGGCCCGCUGCGCUCGGGAGUCGGUCUGCUCGGGCUCCGCUCUCGCUCGCCUCGCCUGCCUACCCGGAGCCGGAGCCGGAGCCGCCUCCUCCGCCUCCGCCUCCUCUUUCUCCUCCUCCUCCUCGCCUGCCCGCCCCCCGCGGGCGUGCUGUCGUCUUGGGCUCUGGACCAGGGUCGGGAAGUUUCCCGGGCUGCGCAGAGUCCAGAUGUGUGACCUGAUUGAGCCCCAGCCGGCGGAGAAGAUCAGCAAGAUGAAGAAGUUGCGCCGAACUUUGUCGGAGAGUUUCAGCCGGAUAGCUUUGAAGAAAGAGGACAGCAACUUUGAUGAGAUAUGUGUCACAAAGAUGUCUACACGGAACUGCCCAGGAAUGGACUCAGUAAUCAAACCCCUGGACACAAUUCCUGAGGACAAGAAAGUCCGAGUUCAGAGGACACAGAGCACUUUCGACCCCUUUGAGAAGCCUGCCACUCAAGUGAAGAGGGUGCAUUCUGAGAACAAUGCUUGCAUUAACUUCAAAUCCUCCUCCAGUGGGAAGGAAUCUCCCAAAGUUCGCCGGCAUUCUAGCCCCAGUUCUCCCACAAGUCCCAAAUUUGGAAAAGCUGACUCUUAUGAAAAACUGGAGAAACUGGGAGAAGGGUCUUAUGCCACUGUGUACAAAGGAAAAAGCAAGGUAAAUGGGAAACUUGUGGCAUUGAAGGUGAUCCGGCUUCAAGAGGAAGAAGGUACUCCUUUCACCGCGAUCCGGGAAGCCUCUCUAUUAAAAGGACUGAAGCACGCCAAUAUAGUAUUACUUCAUGACAUCAUCCAUACCAAGGAGACAUUGACACUUGUGUUUGAAUACGUGCACACUGAUUUAUGUCAGUACAUGGACAAACACCCCGGAGGGCUUCAUCCAGACAAUGUGAAGUUGUUUUUAUUUCAGUUGCUGCGAGGACUGUCUUACAUCCACCAGCGGUAUAUUUUGCACAGAGACCUGAAGCCACAGAAUCUUCUCAUCAGUGACACGGGGGAGUUAAAGCUGGCAGAUUUCGGUCUUGCAAGAGCAAAAUCGGUCCCUAGCCACACGUACUCCAAUGAAGUGGUUACUCUGUGGUACAGGCCUCCAGAUGUCCUCUUGGGCUCAACAGAAUAUUCCACCUGCCUUGACAUGUGGGGAGUUGGCUGUAUCUUUGUUGAAAUGAUUCAAGGAGUUGCUGCUUUUCCAGGAAUGAAAGACAUUCAGGAUCAACUUGAACGAAUAUUUCUGGUUCUUGGAACGCCUAAUGAGGAUACUUGGCCUGGAGUCUAUUCUUUACCACAUUUUAAGCCGGAACGCUUUACCCUGUACAGCUCUAAAAACCUUAGACAAGCAUGGAAUAAGCUCAGCUAUGUGAACCAUGCAGAGGAUCUGGCCUCCAAACUACUCCAGUGUUUCCCAAAGAACAGAUUGUCUGCCCCAGCAGCCCUGAACCAUGAGUAUUUCAGUGAUCUGCCCCCCCGGCUAUGGGAGCUAACCGAUAUGUCUUCUGUUUUUACUGUCCCAAAUGUAAGAUUACAACCAGAAGUUGGAGAAAGUAUGCGGGCCUUUGGAAAAAACAAUAGUUAUGGCAAAAGUCUGUCAAAUAGCAAGCACUGAAGAACACAUGGUUGCCGAAAGGGGAUGCAGAAAAUCUCGGCCUUCUUGAAACUGAAUAUGACUUUGAACAACUUUGUACGUGAAAAAAGAAAAAAAAUCAUGUGUUCAUCUUGACUCCUCAUUCCACUGAACAGGGAUGACAAAAUAGAAGAAAGAAAGAGAAUCCUGGCUACCACAUAAAGUGGUUGGAGAGAAGAAUGUGUAGUCUGUGCUACUAACCUCCCAGAACAAAAGUUUUUGGCAAAGUUCAGGAUCAUACCAUUUAACAAAGGGGAAGAUAUACAGAAUGAGUGAACUAAGAAACCCGCAUCUUCACUGAUAAGUAUAUGUUUGCAAAACCAUCUCCUUGUCAAAGUUGAACACAUUUUAGUCUUGGCUUUCUUUAACUUUUAGUGUAAUAUACUCAGUCGUCUAGUAAGACUUAGUAGCCUACUUGUGUUUGUUGUUUGCCAAGAAUUCCUUACUUAACUUUCAUGACAUUUACCCAUGUUCCCAAUUUCAUUAAAACUCAUGACCAGCAGCACCUAAGAAACCCAUGUCCAAUCCACUGUGUACCAGACCAGUACACAGAUGCAGUGUAAUAAUUCACAAAGCCUUCAUUUCAGUUGGGAGACAAGACCAGACAAGCACCCAGGUAGCCUAGCCCAACCCACAGCAGAUUCAAGAACCAGGGCAGCAGCAGGAAGCAGAGGACUUAAGGUUUCAUGAAAGACUUCUGUCAGUGGAAUUGACACCCAGUUAGAGCCCGAGUCCAUGUUAGAGAUGGAGCUAACUCCAGGUUUGCCAUUAUGCAAGGAGACAGAGAAAUGAAUGUGGCCAGAGCUUAAGUCAAGAAACCAGGAUAUUGAGUAUAAACGGAAGAAUUCCUACAGGGUAUAGUGCCUAGUUUCAAGUACACCAUCCAAGAGUACAGGCAAGAGAAGAAUUUAACCCAGACCAAAGCCUCAGUGUAGAAACUGAGGUUAGAGCAAUUUAUAAACAAGAAAAUACUAAACACAGUGACUAAGUCAAAUCAUUUUACCUCUGCUACAGUUUCCUCAAGUGUAAAAUAAAGAUCAUAACAACAACACCUACCUCAAAGAAUUGUUAUAAGAAUCCAAUGAUAUAUUUGUAAAAUGUGUAGCAUAGUAUUAUGGAUGUAAAAGAUGUUUAAUAAAAGCUUGUUUUCUUUCCUAUCAAGGAGCUAUGGUUAGUAUUGCACAAGAUUUCAAAACUGACAUAAUUUAAGAGAGAAGAGCUUGGAAUAUGGUAUUUUAAAAGAAGGCAAAAGAUAAAAAGGCUUACAACCAAGCAUCCAAGGAAAAUCUUAAAAUGAUACCACAAGCGACAAGAUACAUCUUUAAUGAGAUAGAGGACUUACAAGUAUUACUGAUGAAAAAAAUCAGACUUAAGUAAAAUCUUUCAAAGAUUCUACAGUGAUAAAGUACUUACAUUCUAAUAGGAGGAGAAAUAAGUGUUCCUUCAAAAUCCUUCUAUCUUCCCUGAGAUAUAGAGAGAAUUAAGUAAAGCAAACAAAGAUUCUGGAUUGUUGUCAUCAUUCUGGGGAGAAGAAAAUCUAAUGAAGAGACCAAGAAUAUGAAGUGAAUCAUGAUUCAGUUUCCUUUCUCUCUCCCCAUGGUGGAUUUUUGAAGCUGGCAAGACCCUAUUUUCCCUGCAAUUUAUUUAAAACCUUGCACGCGUUCGGAUACCUUGUGAUUUCAGAGAACUAUGUGAAGAUUAAGCUUUGCUUACUGAUACAUGGCAUGUAUUCUUUCCAGUCUUUUGUGUUGGAUUUUGUUUGAUUUUCCACUGCGGCGCAGCAUCGUUGUAAAGGUUUUUAUGCUUUCACCAGCAAGGUCUUAAAUACAUUAAGACAACACAUUUGGUGUUCACACUCCUCCAGUAAUGUCUGUACAUAAAAGCCACAAAAUGGCUUAAAGAAUGUGUGUUUUCUUUGAGAAUAGUUCAAUCAGUGGGAAGGCCAUUUUUAGCUAGAGCAAACCCAUAUUCUCUGACUGACUGACAAGGACUGUCCUUGGCCACCACGCUAUCAGUGUUUUAUUUACUUCUUGAGAAUCUUUGCAUAGAUUUUUUUUAUUUUUUUUUUUUGACCAUGGAAAUAAUUGCACAUUUAUUUAGCACAUCACAAUUUGGUUAUUGUUCUUAAAUUACAUAGCAUGCCAGACGGCAGAAUAGGUUGGAAAUGGGAACAGGGCUGGGGAUUGGGUGGGGGGGAGGAACAGGGAAACAAGAUAUAUGAACAAAAACAGUAAUUGCUUAAUUAAUUAAUUAAUUGCUAUUUGGCCUCUGGAGAUCAAAGUAACUUUUUGGUUUCAUGAAUAUUGUCUGCACUUGGUUUUUCCCGUAUUAUCUCAUCUUUGGGGUAUUUCUUAAAGGAAAAAAAAAAAGAGUUUAUAGGACUAGGGUGUAGAAAACUAUAUUUGCUGAAUGAGCCAUUAAAGCAUUCUUUACUUGUUAGCUUUAGGGGGAAAAUGUAAAGCUGUCCACAGGUAAGUUUGCUCUCUCAAAUUUCAGAGACUUCCCUGUUCCAUUUUGUCUUCAUUUCAGCAUGAUUGGAAGAAGCCACUGAAUACCCAUCAGACUGGCUGCUGCAACCAGUUUCACAAUGGAAACGAGGCAGUAGUAUCCUAGAUACCCUUGUUUGAGGAUAUGAGGGAAACUUGGAGAAAGAGAAGAAGAUUUUAAAAUUCGAAACAGGGGGCAGUUGGAAGCAUUUGAUUUUCAUGGAUCUGGAAUGAAUGGUGGCUGAAUUCAAGAAAACUUUGGAAGUGUUGUGAGACUUGCUGUUGCAUUGCAAACAGCAAAGAGCCCAAGAAAUACUUCAUUUCCAUCCCCAGGACAUAAUUUCCCAUGAAAACAUCCAAUUAUACAUUGGCUUGGUCUUACCAUUUCCCUUUUGAUUUUCCUUUUAUUAUGGCUACAGUGAGGGAUGUCUAGUCAAGUUGACCAAUACUCUAUCUUAGAAAGCUCCCCCCCUUUCCCACAUUCAGACACAGCAGAGCAAGGAAGCUGAAUGCCAGGAUUCACAGGCCCCAGAACUGUAUGCACUGUACAAUGUGAUAUCACUGCUUAAAUAUAUUAAUAUAAUGGGUGCUCUGAGGAUUCAACAUUGACUUUUAAUUGUGCAGGUAAUCUUUGCUAUUUAACAUUUUAAGGAAAGCAAAACACUUGCCCAAUAAGGAAAUGUUCACCAUUUGCUCCUGGGAGAUCUGUCUUAUUCUUUUAUCAUGCAUUCCUACCAAAUUUAAAGUAUUUUGAGGCAUUUUGAGCCUUUGAAGUGUUUUGUUUUAAAACUGAUAUUAGAAUUUUUUUAAAAAAAAAUUAAAUUACACUCUCAAGAUUCUCAAACAACCUUUUUAUGGGUUUGUUCUAAAGCUUCAUGUUUCCAUUUGGGUGAGAAGCAAAGCUUCAUCCUGUAGUUAGAUUGAAUGAUUACAAUUUUGCUUUUUUAAAAGUCUUACACUUAUUGACAGGAGGGAGAAGGAAACCCUAAAAAUAUACACCAUAACAAAGAUUCGAAUUAGGAACAAGGAGGUGAUUCCAUAGGUAUAUUUCACUUGUUCGGUGACAAGUGCUCUAUAGGAAAGCCAGAAAACUUAAUUUGUACUAUUCAAGUGAAGAAAUCUGCUGGUCUGACUUAGAAACUACCUAGGGAUUUAGUUGCCUUUCAGGAAGGUUUAUAGGCCUUCUACUUUGCCAUCCAUGGUAUAAAGCCAAAGAUCUGGCUGGCUCUCUCUUCCCUUCUCAUUCAUUUUCCCUUUGUCCUUUUCUCCCCUUCUUGUUUAAAUUAGCGCCAGAAAUUUCGUUCCACUUAUUCUGCAGUCAGGGAAGCAUUAGGACAUUGGGCAAGUUUAUUUUCCUAUGAAAGAAUAACUUGAAAUCAAAGAGCUGAAAUAGAUAGAACACCCAAGCACUGUGAUUGUAGCAACAUUACAUCACUACAAAAAGCAAUUGGGUCUUGGGAUUUAAUUUUCAUUUUUUCUUCUUUUUAAAGGAACAUUCUGGUUAGCAAUACUUCUGCACACAUAAUAGGAAAGCUUUCCUUUGCAAGGAAACUUCUGCAAAAUGUAGCUGGAGAAGUAGGGGGAAGACAGCUGUCAAUCCACCAAUAGGAGGAGUGAGAGAUAUUUUUCUACCUCCGGUGAGUGAUAAGAGAAGGUUCAGGGGGGACAUUUCCCCCAGGCGUUGGUAGAGGACAUGGACCUCUUGCCAUUCUCUGUACGCACAUGACUGAAAGUAUAGUCCACAUUCUAUGUUAAUGCUUCUUUACUAAAUACUUAUUUGUGAAUAUUCUUGAUUUUGUAAUCUCUGUUUCUUAAGAAGUGUAGGCUGUACAUACGGGGGAGAAGACUGGCUCCUCUUGGAAACAGAAAUGCGCUGCUUGAUUAUCUGGCUUGUGAGUGACCGUCACCUUGUACGUCACCAUUUGGCAAUUUUCACUCUCUCUCUCACACACACCAAAAAAAUAAAAUAAAAUAAGCAAUGUCUCGCUCCUCCCACCCAAGUGUAUUUUAGUGGCACAUACAAGAUCUACAUUCUCUAGCUGAAAGUGUUUUUUGGUUAUUUUUGUUUUUGUUUUUAGCUUUUAAGUUUUGAAUGAUACACUAUGCUGUGUAUUUUGUAAAAGGGCAAACGGGCACAAGUGAAAGGCGGCCAUGUCAUUCAGAAAAAAAAAUUACAAUUUCUUCACGAUGACAGCCUCGUAAGCAGAAUGGUAUAAUACAUGUUGCAUUAUUUGUUACAACUUGUACUUUGUCUGUAUUAUGAGAGAUGUAAUGGUUUGUCAGCUGUAACUGUUGUUUUCUUGUAACAUGAUAUGGAAUAAAGUGUAGCCGAAUCUCCCUACAAA